rnacentral:rRNA from 1 species
GAUUCCCCUAGUAACUGCGAGUGAAGCGGGAAAAGCUCAAAUUUAAAAUCUGGUGGUCUUUGGCCAUCCGAGUUGUAAUCUAGAGAAGUGUUAUCCGCGCUGGACCGUGUACAAGUCCCCUGGAAUGGGGCGUCAUAGAGGGUGAGAAUCCCGUCUUUGACACGGACUACCAGGGCUUUGUGAUGCACUCUCAAAGAGUCGAGUUGUUUGGGAAUGCAGCUCAAAAUGGGUGGUAAAUUCCAUCUAAAGCUAAAUAUUGGCGAGAGACCGAUAGCGAACAAGUACCGUGAGGGAAAGAUGAAAAGAACUUUGGAAAGAGAGUUAAACAGUACGUGAAAUUGUUGAAAGGGAAACGCUUGAAGUCAGUCGCGUCUGCCAGGGAUCAACCUUACUUUUGUGAGGCGUACUUCCUGGUUGAUGGGUCAGCAUCAGUUUUGGUUGCUGGAUAAAGGUCAGAGAAAUGUGGCACCUUCGGGUGUGUUAUAGUCUUUGAUCAGAUACAGUGGCUGGGACUGAGGAACUCAGCGCCGCAAGGCUGUCUUAGGAUGCUGGCAAAAUGGCUUUAAUCGACCCGUCUUGAAACACGGACCAAGGAGUCUAACAUGCCUGCGAGUGUUUGGGUGGAAAACCCGAGCGCGUAAUGAAAGUGAAAGUUGGGACCCCUGUCAUGGGGAGCACCGACGCCCAUACCAGAAGUUUACGGACGGAUAUGCGGUGGAGCAUGUAUGUUGGGACCCGAAAGAUGGUGAACUAUGCCUGAAUAGGGCGAAGCCAGAGGAAACUCUGGUGGAGGCUCGUAGCGAUUCUGACGUGCAAAUCGAUCGUCGA